CACCUCUCAGGGCUGCCCCCGGAGAGUUUCCAGUCCUCUACCAGCCUCAACUAUGGGAGGGAGGGUCUGGCAGAGAUGUAUCCGUUCCAUUCCUAGCAUGGGCAGUGGCUAGCGAAUGGAAGAAAAUCUGCUACAAGU